GGAGAAUCUAAGACUUCUGAAGAGUUUCUUGCUUCUUUCCUGUGGGGCAGUGACUCCACUUCCCAGCAGUAAUGGAAUAUCCUGAAUUAGCUACAUUAAUGUUAGAACCAUUUGGACCUCACCCAGGACUUCAACUACAUUAUGAGUAACUCCUGGACGAUUGGCACAGAAGGCACAAGGCAAAUACCUAUCUCUGUACACCCUGUGCUACUGUGUCAUGUGCUGCUCCAGGCAACUCCAAUGGAUUGGCCACCCUGGCCAAUGUGCCCUCCAAACACCAGCACUGAGUAGAAAGAGGCUCUGAUUCAUGAAAUGUGAAUUUAUGACAGUUGCCACUCUUAAAAAAAAAACAAACAGACAGAACUUGAGCAAUACAUGACUGAUGCAUUCUCAGCCUGCUUCCUGUGUUCCAUCUGUCUUUCUGCCAGUGCAUUCACCCUCCAGGUUCUAGUAUGUUAGGUUUAUGUUCCCCUGCUUUCUACAAUCCUGUUCAAAGAGUUGCUGACUUAACCACAGAGAGGAUUCCAGAACAUGAGACACAGAAUAAACUUGAGCAAUCAUAGUCCAUCCACUUCAUUUUCUCAUCAAAAACCAAAGGUCCAGUGAAGCUCUGGAACUCAACGCUGUAAAGGAGCGAAGGAGCUUCUAUACAGAGCCUGGAUGCCUGUCUCCUUAUCCUACUUCAGUGGACUUGACUGCAAUCCGGACUAUGCUGUUUUCUAAGCAUUUAAAAUAAAA
rnacentral:antisense_RNA from 1 species